GAUCCUGCCAGAAUUAUAUGCUUGUUCUAAAGAUUAAGCCAUGCAAGUUCCGAUAGAGUGGUAAGCUCAAUCUGCAAAUAGCUCCGUAUAUCUGUUUCAACCCUCGUGGUUUAUGAAUGUAAACCAGAAUCUAAGGUUCCGCCCGGGGGCGAAGGGGGAGGAGGGCUCGCGCUCGCCUCCCCUCGAGCCCCAGGGCGGCGACACGCUCGGCUCUGGAAGGUAUACGGAUAACCACGGUAAUUCUGUGGCCAAUACGUGUUCAAAGGCGCGCCGCAAGGCGCGCCGAGAUCUUUCGAGCCAUAACCAACGGGGGCCUCACGGCCUCUCACCGGGAGCAGUCGAAAGCUGUCUGACGGGUUUAUCCCGCAGUCCACCGGGGAUUCAGACCUAUCAACUUGACGGCAGGAUCGAGGCCUGCCAUGGUCGUAACGGGUACAGAGGAUAAGGGUUCGAUCCUGGAGAGGUAGCCUUAGAAACAGCUACCACUUCUAAGGAAGGCAGCAGGCGCGCAACGUUCUCAAUGGGGUUUCCCCUGAAGACGUGACAGAACAUAGCAAUACUGGGCCUUCAAGGUUCGGUAAUUGAAAUGAGAACAUUUUAAAUCCCUUAUCAAGUAACAAUUGGAGGACAAGUCUGGUGCCAGCACCCGCGGUAAUUCCAGCUCCAAUAGCAUCUAGUUAAGUUGUUGCAGUUAAAACGCUCGUAGUCGACACCUGCGCCCCGUUGCUGCCCAGUAGCCUCUGCGCAGGGCGUCCCACCUCGAGAUAGUCUUGCGCUCUGGCGACAGGUAGCGAUGGGAGCGUGUAAUUAUUGCCCGGCAAUCGGGAGUCAGCUACUUCGCUGUGGGCGCCCCACGCCGGGAACCUUACUUUGAGUAAAUUUGCGUGCUCGAAGCAUGACAAUGUCUGAAAACUCCAGCAAAGAAUAACGAAAGAAGAGCCCAUCUUCGCGCGUUGGUUCGAAUUAGGGCUAAUGAUUGAUAGAGGUAAGCGGGGCUGGUCACAUGGUGGGGGUAGGGGUGAAAUCCGUUGAUCCUCGCCAGGUGAACUACUGCGAAGGCAUCCAGCAAGUAUACACUCUUUGAUCAAGAACGAAAGUCUGGGGAUCGAAGACGAUCAGAUACCGUCGUAGUCCAGACCCUAAAUGAUGCCGACCAUGGAUGGACUUUCGUCCAUCCCGACCUAGUCUGGACCUUGUGGGAAACCAUUAAGUUUUUGGGCUCUGGGGGGAGUAUGGUUGCAAGACUGAAACUUAAAGGAAUUGACGGGAGAGCACACAAGGAGUGGAGCCUGCGGCUUAAUUUGACUUAACACGGGAAAACUCACUAGAGCAAGAAAAGGGGAUGAGUGUCAGCGCAGCCGCACUUACACGAUUCCUUCAGUGGUGGUGCAUGGUCGUUCUUAGUUCGUGGAGUGAUUUGUCUGGUCUAUUCCGCUAACGAGCGAGAACCCAAUCUCCUGUAGUUGAACGUGCGGGCACGCCCAUGCUUCACGGCACAGGCUGAAACACGCCCGCAUGAUCUAUCCUAAGGAGACCGGCUGCGACAAGUGGCUGGAAGUGGGUCAAUAACAGGUCAGUGAUGCCCUUUAGAUGCUCUAGGCUGCACGCGCGCUACAAUGGGAGGAAGAACGCGUUAUCGGUGCCUAACGGCUAUCGGUAAUCGUCCAAAACCUCUCCUGUCCGGGAUUGGCCUUUGUAACAGGGCCAUGAACAAGGAAUUUCUAGUAGUCAUCGGUCACUAGCCGGUGGCGAUUAUGUCCCUGCUCUCUGUACACACCGCCCGUCGCUCCUACCGAUUGGGCCAGCUGAUGAGGAACCUGGUCUUUUUCGACCCAGCUCAAAAGGCUGGCAAGAGGCUGGAAGGGUUCAAAUUUUCUGGUCUAGAGGAAGGAGA
rnacentral:rRNA from 1 species